AGAGUUUGAUCCUGGCUCAGGAUGAACGCUGGCGGCGUGCUUAACACAUGCAAGUCGAACGAACCUUAGGGUUAGUGGCGGACGGGUGAGUAACGCGUGAGAAUCUGCCCUCAGGAGGGGGAUAACGGCUGGAAACGGCCGCUAAUACCCCAUAUGCUGAGAGGUGAAAUGAAUUUCGCCUGAGGAUGAGCUCGCGUCUGAUUAGCUAGUUGGUGGGGUAAGAGCCUACCAAGGCAUCGAUCAGUAGCUGGUCUGAGAGGAUGAUCAGCCACACUGGGACUGAGACACGGCCCAGACUCCUACGGGAGGCAGCAGUGGGGAAUUUUCCGCAAUGGGCGAAAGCCUGACGGAGCAACGCCGCGUGAGGGAUGAAGGCCUCUGGGCUGUAAACCUCUUUUAUCGAGGAAGAAGAUCUGACGGUACUUGAUGAAUAAGCCACGGCUAAUUCCGUGCCAGCAGCCGCGGUAAUACGGGAGUGGCAAGCGUUAUCCGGAAUUAUUGGGCGUAAAGCGUCCGCAGGCGGCCUGAUAAGUCUGUUGUCAAAGCGUGGAGCUCAACUCCAUUUCGGCAAUGGAAACUGUGAGGCUUGAGUGUGGUAGGGGCAGAGGGAAUUCCCGGUGUAGCGGUGAAAUGCGUAGAUAUCGGGAAGAACACCAGUGGCGAAGGCGCUCUGCUGGGCCAUAACUGACGCUCAUGGACGAAAGCCAGGGGAGCGAAAGGGAUUAGAUACCCCUGUAGUCCUGGCCGUAAACGAUGAACACUAGGUGUCGGGGGAAUCGACCCCCUCGGUGUCGUAGCCAACGCGUUAAGUGUUCCGCCUGGGGAGUACGCACGCAAGUGUGAAACUCAAAGGAAUUGACGGGGGCCCGCACAAGCGGUGGAGUAUGUGGUUUAAUUCGAUGCAACGCGAAGAACCUACCAGGGUUUGACAUCCUGCGAAUCCCUUGGAAACUUGGGAGUGCCUUCGGGAGCGCAGAGACAGGUGGUGUAUGGCUGUCGUCAGCUCGUGUCGUGAGAUGUUGGGUUAAGUCCCGCAACGAGCGCAACCCACGUCUUUAGUUGCCAGCAUUGAGUUGGGCACUCUAGAGAGACCGCCGGUGAUAAACCGGAGGAAGGUGUGGAUGACGUCAAGUCAUCAUGCCCCUUACAUCCUGGGCUACACACGUACUACAAUGCUACGGACAAAGGGCAGCAAACUCGCGAGAGCUAGCAAAUCCCAUAAACCGUGGCUCAGUUCAGAUCGUAGGCUGCAACUCGCC
rnacentral:rRNA from 1 species